rnacentral:hammerhead_ribozyme from 1 species
AUCCAAUUAACGAGUCCCAAAUAGGACGAAACGCGCGUUCUGGAU